rnacentral:rRNA from 1 species
UAGGGAAUCCUCCACAAUGGACGCAAGUCUGAUGGAGCAACGCCGCGUGAGUGAAGAAGGUUUUCGGAUCGUAAAGCUCUGUUGUUGGUGAAGAAGGAUAGAGGCAGUAACUGGUCUUUAUUUGACGGUAAUCAACCAGAAAGUCACGGCUAACUACGUGCCAGCAGCCGCGGUAAUACGUAGGUGGCAAGCGUUGUCUGGAUUUAUUGGGCGUAAAGCGAGCGCAGGCGGAAUGAUAAGUCUGAUGUGAAAGCCCACGGCUCAACCGUGGAACUGCAUCGGAAACUGCCAUUCUUGAGUGCAGAAGAGGAGAGUGGAACUCCAUGUGUAGCGGUGGAAUGCGUAGAUAUAUGGAAGAACACCAGUGGCGAAGGCGGCUCUCUGGUCUGCAACUGACGCUGAGGCUCGAAAGCAUGGGUAGCGAACAGGAUUAGAUACCCUGGUAGUCCAUGCCGUAAACGAUGAGCGCUAGGUGUUGGGGACUUUCCGGUUCUCAGUGCCGCAGCAAACGCAUUGAGCGCUCCGCCUGGGGGAGUACGACCGCAAGGUUGAAAC